ACAAUGAAUGUAUCUGAGAAAGACGGGACUUCCUCACCAGGGUAAUUCCUACUAGUGUGUUUUCAUUAAUAGUGAAAUUUAGCGCUCAUUUUUAAUGUACGUCACGUGACAUUUGUUCUGUGUUGUGAUAGGUGGACGAUGUUCUAGUAAUUUUUAAUACCCUUUCUGCCAGUCCGAGUACCUUUCUGUACUUAAAGUUUUGUCAUGUGAAUUUUCUAGAUAUGCCAAGCCAAGCUUCUGAUCAAUUUACUAUACAUUUUACACUAUCUCUCUUUGUAUCCAUUUUCCGUUCAACCACCCCCUAGCUAUGAAUAGUUUUCUUCCACUUUGAAGAGCAAAGUCACUGUCAAUUUUAAUGCUUUGUAUUCCUGUAUUCAUUAAAGUGAUUGAUGAACAUUUAGAAUUAUGGUGGGAUUUAUUGCAUAACAUUAGGGAGUCUGAUUCUUUGGUUAUUCAGCCAUGGUCUAUCAACAUUAUGAAGUCAUAAACCAUUAUAAAUGUGAUUUUUUUACUUUCAUGUCUUUAUCCAGUCAAAAUUUUAAAAUACAUAUGGCACAACUUUUCAAGGUUAUUCGUGAUUCUGAAAUUAAACUGUCUGGGACAGUCGUUUCCAAUAAUUGUGCAAACAAUAGGUCUGCAAUUUUGUUUAGUAAAGAAAAUACUGCGUCAUUUCGUUAACGAUAGCAAAGUCUUUAAAAACUGACAACAUAAAACAUUCACCAUUUAGAAUUUAUGCUGUAGACAUAAUAAGGGGCUUUAACACCUGAAACGUUUUCUCAUUGUCACUGAAUAAUAUUAAUACAGAAUAAUAAAGGGACCAUUGCUCGUAUAUUAGGUGUUAAAACGUGCCUAGAUUUGGCAGAAUAAAACCAAAUUACCUUUCCCUAUGAAGUCUCGAAAGCUCGUCUCUGAUAUCCAAUCUCCGAGCAAUAAAAUAAGUAUUGCAACUUUGAUGUUAAAAGAAUGUCUAUCAAGCAUGAUUAUUUUGAUAUUAUAUAUAUGUAACACAGAAAUUUUGGUCAUUUUAUAUAGAUCUGUAAAACUGUUUGUUUACUUGUAACUUUUUCCCAAUUUUGCAUAUUGUACUUAUCAGUAGGUCUUCUAUUUCCUAUUAUGGUUUUUAUUUUUUUCUCUCUUUUUUGUGAUCAGUUUUUCUUCUAGGAAUCUCGUUUUGAUCGACACGCUUAUAUCUGACACAGUCAAAACAUCAUGCUUAGUCAUCUGCCCUAGCAGCUGUGCUUAACCAAGUUAAGACUUCAUUCUCAUUGUUGACAUGCAAGUUGCUAAAGCAACUCUAAAAAGGACUGUGAUUGGGCGACAUCGUGUCACGUGUCACUUGGUGGUCAGUUGUGUUUAGUGCUAUAUUGUAUCAUCGCUUUUGUUAAAAUAAAUUGUAGAAAACAUUC
rnacentral:sRNA from 1 species